rnacentral:piRNA from 1 species
UGAUUUGGAAACUAUUUCUGAGAAUUUCU